rnacentral:rRNA from 1 species
UUUCCGUAGGUGAACCUGCGGAAGGAUCAUUACUGAGUUAGGGUCUCAUCUCGAGCCCGAAUCUCCAACCCUUUGUAUAAAACACUUUGUUGCUUUGGCAGGCCCGUCUGAAAAUCCUUUAACCGGGAUCGACGACCGCCGGGGGCGUUUAGUCACCUCUGGCCAGUGCUUGCCGAUAGCCUAUUCAAAAUUCUUUAUUAAAUCAUGUCUGAAAAAUUAUAACUAAAUAUAAUUAAAACUUUUAACAACGGAUCUCUUGGUUCUGGCAUCGAUGAAGAACGCAGCGAAAUGCGAUAAGUAAUGUGAAUUGCAGAAUUCAGUGAAUCAUCGAAUCUUUGAACGCACAUUGCGCCCUUUGGUAUUCCGAAGGGCAUGCCUGUUCGAGCGUCAUUAUCAACCCUCAAGCUCGGCUUGUUAUUGGGCUCUUAUCGUUAAAGAUAGGCCCGAAAGAUAAUGGCGGCGUCAUAAAUGACCCCAGAUGCAGCGAGCUUAUAGCAUACAUCGAAAGGUUUUUAUGGCCCGGCCUUAACGAGAAGCAAUUCUCAAUUUAUUUAAAGGUUGACCUCGGAUCAGGUAGGAAUACCCGCUGAACUUAAAGCAUAUCAAUAAGCGG